rnacentral:rRNA from 1 species
AAUAUUGGACAAUGGGCGAAAGCCUGAUCCAGCCAUGCCCCGUGUGUGAAGAAGGUCUUCGGAUUGUAAAGCCCUUUAAGUUGGGAGGAAGGGUUGUAGGUUAAUACCCUGCAAUUUUGACGUUAUCAACAGAAUAAGCACCUGGUAACUACGUGCCAGCAGCCGCGGUAAUACGAAGGGUGAAAGCGUUAAUCGGAAUUAGUGGGCGUAAAGCGCGCGUAGGUGGUUCGUUAAGUUGGAAGUGGAAGCCCCGGGCUUAACCUGGGAAUUGCUUUCAAAACUGACGGGCUAGAGUACGGUAGAGGGUAGUGGAAUUUCCUGUGUAGCGGUGAAAUGCGUAGAUAUAGGAAGGAACAUCAGUGGCGAAGGCGACUACCUGGACUGAUACUGACACUGAGGUGCGAAAGCGUGGGGAGCAAACAGG